rnacentral:tRNA from 1 species
GUUUAGGUAGUAUAAUUAGUAUGUUGCAUUGUGGUUGCAGAGGAUUUUUUAUCUAAGCA